rnacentral:misc_RNA from 1 species
GUUAAUCCUUAUCAGUAUCAAAGUAAGAUUCCAAAAUCAAUGUUAAAAAACCGAAAGCAUGAUGAAAUUAGUGAUAUGUCUAAUCAUACAUAGAGAAUCUAAUCAAUAUCAUAGUUUCACACUAGAUACAAGAGAGGUGUUAAGUAAGAGCAAACUUUCAAUCCAAGCCACUGCAAAAUUGGCUAAUCAAAGAAAACAGAUUCUGCUAAAUAAAAAAGGAGUUUUCAUUUUCUAGAUUAAGAAAAGACAAUAACUUGCAUGAAUAGAAAGAAAAAA